AGAGUUUGAUCAUGGCUCAGGACGAACGCUGGCGGCGCGCCUAACACAUGCAAGUCGAACGGGAUACACUGGGAGCUUGCUCCUAGCGUAUCUAGUGGCGGACGGGUGAGUAACACGUGAGCAACCUGCCUUUCAGAGGGGGAUAACGUUUGGAAACGAACGCUAAUACCGCAUAACAUCAUUGGUCGGCAUCGACUGAUGAUCAAAGGAGUAAUCCGCUGAAAGAUGGGCUCGCGCCCGAUUAGAUAGUUGGUGAGGUAAUGGCUCACCAAGUCUGCGAUCGGUAGCCGGACUGAGAGGUUGAUCGGCCACAUUGGGACUGAGACACGGCCCAGACUCCUACGGGAGGCAGCAGUGGGGAAUAUUGCACAAUGGAGGAAACUCUGAUGCAGCGACGCCGCGUGAGUGAAGACGGUCUUCGGAUUGUAAAGCUCUGUCUUCGGGGACGAUAAUGACGGUACCCGAGGAGGAAGCCACGG
rnacentral:rRNA from 1 species